UACAGAGGGUGCAAGCGUUAAUCGGAAUUACUGGGCGUAAAGCGUGCGUAGACGGUUACAUAAGUCGGGUGUGAAAGCCCCGGGCUCAACCUGGGAAUUGCAUUCGAGACUGCGUAGCUAGGGUGCGGAAGAGGGAAGCGGAAUUCCGGUGUAGCGGUGAAAUGCGUAGAUAUCGGAAGGAACACCAGUGGCGAAAGCGGCUUCCUGGUCCAGCACCGACGUCAGGCACGAAAGCGUGGGGAGCAAACAGG
rnacentral:rRNA from 1 species